AUGAGAAAACAAAAGAGAGUGGGUUUUGUUUCAAUUUUGGUUGAAGUCAGCUCAUUGUUUUUUGUCUGUUUGAUUCAACAACAAUUGAGUUUAUCACAUUCAAUCCUGUUUUUAGAAAAAUAUAAUUAUUUUGUUAAAUUAAAAUACUUUAAUUAUGAUGAAUGUAAUAUAUGUUAA